CGAUCUCAAAUCAGGUAGGACUACCCGCUGAACUUAAGCAU
rnacentral:rRNA from 1 species